rnacentral:rRNA from 1 species
GACGAACGCUGGCGGCGUGCCUAAUACAUGCAAGUAGAACGCAGUUGCGAACGGGUGAGUAACGCGUCGGUAAAUGCCUGGUAGCGGGGGAUAACUAUUGGAAACGAUAGCUAAUACCGCAUACUAACAGAUGGACCUGCGUUGUAAUGGCUAGUUGGUGGGGUAACUGCUCACCAAGGCAACGAUACAUAGCCGACCCGAAAGGGUGAUCGGCCACACUGGGACUGAGACACGGCCCAGACUCCUACGGGAGGCAGCAGGAGGGAAUCUUCGGCAAUGGGGGGAACGCUGGCUGAGCAACGGCGCGUGGGUGAAGAAGGUUUUCGGAGCGUAAAGCUCUGUUGUUAAGGAAGCGGUACUUAACCAGAAAGGGACGGCUAACUACGUGCCAGCAGCCGCGGUAAUUC